GACGAACGCUGGCGGCGCGCCUAACACAUGCAAGUCGAACGAGCGAGAGAGAGCUUGCUUUCUCAAGCGAGUGGCGAACGGGUGAGUAACGCGUGAGGAACCUGCCUCAAAGAGGGGGACAACAGUUGGAAACGACUGCUAAUACCGCAUAAGCCCACAGGUCGGCAUCGACCUGAGGGAAAAGGAGCAAUCCGCUUUGAGAUGGCCUCGCGUCCGAUUAGCUAGUUGGUGAGGUAACGGCCCACCAAGGCAACGAUCGGUAGCCGGACUGAGAGGUUGAACGGCCACAUUGGGACUGAGACACGGCCCAGACUCCUACGGGAGGCAGCAGUGGGGAAUAUUGCACAAUGGGGGAAACCCUGAUGCAGCGACGCCGCGUGGGGGAAGAAGGUCUUCGGAUUGUAAACUCCUGUUGUUGAGGAAGAUAAUGACGGUACUCAACAAGGAAGUGACGGCUAACUACGUG
rnacentral:rRNA from 1 species